rnacentral:rRNA from 1 species
UACGGGGGGGCAAGCGUUGUUCGGAAUUACUGGGCGUAAAGGGCUCGUAGGCGGCCAACUAAGUCGGAUGUGAAAUCCCCAGGCUUAACCUGGGAACUGCAUCCGAUACUGGAUGGCUUGAAUUCGGGAGAGGGAUGCAGAAUUCCAGGUGUAGCGGUGAAAUGCGUAGAUAUCUGGAGGAAUACCGGUGGCGAAGGCGGCAUCCUGGACCGGCAUUGACGCUGAGGAGCGACAGCGUGGGGAGCAAACAGG